UAGUUUUAUCUCAGACCACUUGAACCCGAGGGUUACUAUUAUUAUUAUUAUUACCACACAGCUGUAAGGGUUUAGAAUAAGGUUCCUAAACUGAGAAAUAACAUUAGCUAAUUCAACCCAGCAAUUUACGAUGCUCAGCUAGAAGAGGAGGCUGGAUGACUAAACAGCACGUCCACAUUGGCAACAAAUCCCCAGGUGAAGGUAGUGUGUUUUCAAAGAGGAAUUGUUCAACUAAGACAACUAUGCUGUUAAUUAUUGACAAUUUGGACAUACUUGGCAAAUACAUUUGGCUGGGCCUUGGUCAAAUAUUGCAAGUAGGAGCAUUCAGGGCUGUAAAUGUCUUGACUUGGGGUUAGAAACUAAAACAGAGGAGUAUUUAAAGUUUUGUUUUGUUUUUGUUUUUACAAGGGGGCUUACAGGUUAGGGAUGGUAAGGAUUUCCCUGCUGUCAGAAAUACCAGAAUUAAUCUAUGUAGGCUACAAAAGAAAAGUUUCAGUUUUGUUGGAAUUACAGCCAUCAAAGCUUUUUAAUCAUUCAACAUAUGGACAACCUCAAAACCACAAAAGCAGAAAGUACAAGAAACAAAGGUACCGUCAUGUAUCAUCUGUAAAACAUAGGAAGAAGAUAUAUACAGGAAAUAGUUAAAUAUGCAAGAAAAUUUUGAUUUGCCUCCCUUUUGAUCCUAAAACAGUCCCGUGUAAUGUAUGGUCCAACAAAAGUGGGUAGCACUUUCUAACAGGGCAACAGUAGUUUGACAA